GACGUAGGGCGCGAGCGUUGUCCGGAUUUAUUGGGCGUAAAGAGCUCGUAGGCGGCUCGUUGCGUCGGCUGUGAAAACCCGCAGCUCAACUGUGGGCUUGCAGCCGAUACGGGCGGGCUGGAGUUCGGUAGGGGAGACUGGAAUUCCUGGUGUAGCGGUGAAAUGCGCAGAUAUCAAGAGGAACACCGGUGGCGAAGGCGGGUCUCUGGGCCGAUACUGACGCUGAGGAGCGAAAGCGUGGGGAGCGAACAGG
rnacentral:rRNA from 1 species